CCCUUAGAUGUUCUGGGCCGCACGCGCGCUACACUGACGAUGGCAACGAGUUUUUCCUUCGCCGAAAGGUGUGGGUAAUCUUUUGAAACAUCGUCGUGCUGGGGAUAGAUCAUUGCAAUUUUUGAUCUUGAACGAGGAAUUCCUAGUAAGCGCGAGUCAUCAGCUCGCGUUGAUUACGUCCCUGCCCUUUGUACGCACCGCCCGUCGCUACUACCGAUUGAAUGGUUUAGUGAGGACUCCUGAUUGGCGCCGCCGCCCCGGCAACGGAGCAGCGGACUGCCGAAAAGUUGUUCAAACUUGAUCAUUUAGAGGAAGUAAAAGUCGUAACA
rnacentral:rRNA from 1 species